UCUCAACUGGUGCUGGUGGUCACAGCUCCCUCACCUGACUCCGUUUUAACUCACAAAUGACUCAGGCCCUGCUGCUCGGCAGCAGCCAAGAGAAAAUGGGAUUUCUCAGAGCUCCCAGUGUCUGGAGCCAUGCUGGAGAUGUGGGGCAUCAGGCACCUUCCACCUGAGCCCAUGCAAAGCCACAUGAUGGCCACGGCAUCUCCGCAGCUCGGCCGUGAGGGUGCUGGCAGCCUGCAGCUGCCAGCUCGGAGCAACUCCCUCUUCUCCCCGAGAAGCAGAGCACGAAGCAGGACGGCAUUGUAUCGUCGAGCCCUGGCAGUUGUAAUUCAGCAAUUCAGCUCACCCUGUGCCGUAAUCUCAGGGCCUAUUAAAACGGGGCAGCAAGCUGGGAGAGGCUGUUGGGAAGAGCUGUAAAAUGGCAGCAUAUUUUAUGCUGUCCUUGGCUGUGAGUCAUGGAGAUCUCCGUCUGCUGAGGGUAAUGAGCAUUUGUAUUCAGAUGGCUUCUCAAGCUGCGUGUUGUUGAAUGCUGGGGAAGAAAAAGUGUUUACUGUUGUUUUACCAGGCAGGGACAAAGUGCAAGGUGCUUUAUCGAGCUGCUUUCUGAAAGCUGUUCUCAGGGAUAGGGUUGGGCUCUUUCUCUGCUCUCUCCUUGUGCAGAGACAGCCGGGGUUUUAGGUGCUUCCUUUCACCCCCUGUUGGUGCGAGACAAAAUCAGUCUCUGCACAGACUCAGCAGAAGGCCUGCUUGUGGCUGGGCAGGAGGCAUCCUACCUGCUGGCCUUCGCUGCCUGGAUGCUGCUGGUGUCUGGUAGAUAGGACUAACACCACCUGCCUGCAAGAGUUCUUUGUUAUCGUCACUGGUUUGGUGUUUAUUUAACUGGAAAAUAGAAAUUUCCUGUAACUGGGAGAAGAUGCCUUGCCCAAAGCUAACUGGCCCAUCAGUGGCAGGGCCUAGCCAUCCUGUCUUCUGGGGACAAAAGGAAAAGGGCCGCAUGAACAGUGCUGCACA